rnacentral:rRNA from 1 species
AUUGAACGCUGGCGGCAGGCCUAACACAUGCAAGUCGAGCGGAUGAAGGGAGCUUGCUCCUGGAUUCAGCGGCGGACGGGUGAGUAAUGCCUAGGAAUCUGCCUGGUAGUGGGGGAUAACGUCCGGAAACGGGCGCUAAUACCGCAUACGUCCUGAGGGAGAAAGUGGGGGAUCUUCGGACCUCACGCUAUCAGAUGAGCCUAGGUCGGAUUAGCUAGUUGGUGGGGUAAAGGCCUACCAAGGCGACGAUCCGUAACUGGUCUGAGAGGAUGAUCAGUCACACUGGAACUGAGACACGGUCCAGACUCCUACGGGAGGCAGCAGUGGGGAAUAUUGGACAAUGGGCGAAAGCCUGAUCCAGCCAUGCCGCGUGUGUGAAGAAGGUCUUCGGAUUGUAAAGCACUUUAAGUUGGGAGGAAGGGCAGUAAGUUAAUACCUUGCUGUUUCGACGUUACCAACAGAGUAAGCACCGGCUAACUUCGUG